rnacentral:rRNA from 1 species
UACGUAGGGGGCUAGCGUUGUCCGGAUUUAUUGGGCGUAAAGAGCUCGUAGGUGGUUCGGUAAGUCGGAUGUGAAAUCUCCAGGCUCAACCUGGAGGGGUCAUUCGAUACUGCCGUGACUAGAGUUCGGUAGAGGAGUGUGGAAUUCCUGGUGGAGCGGUGAAAUGCGCAGAUAUCAGGAGGAACACCGGUGGCGAAGGCGGGUCACUGGGCCGCAACUGACGCUGAGGAGCGAAAGCAUGGGGAGCGAACAGG